rfam:Enterovibrio pacificus strain CAIM 1920 contig022, whole genome shotgun sequence.
ACAACAGCCAUCGCCACCACCAUUAUCAUUAUUACCAGCAUUACCGGUGCAGGUGCGGGCUGAUAUGCACAGAAUUCUUAAAAAAGGCCCGCACACAAGGUAGCGGGCCUUUUUUUU